GCCGGGGUACCUCAGCUGGCCAGAGGGCCGGGCUCAUAACCCGGUUGUCGUGGGUUCGAAUCCCACCCCCGGCA
rnacentral:tRNA from 1 species